CGUGCUACCACGCCCGGCUCAUUUUUUGAUCAGUUGUAGAGAUGAGGUCUCACCAAGUUGCCCAGUGCUUCUUUCUUGUGGAAAACAUGUCCUCAGCUGCUGCCUGCUUAUGGGACUCCCCCCCACCCCUGCCAGCCCAGCCCGCCCAGCCUGGCAACCAGAGGGUUUUCUGCCACACCCUUUUGUGCCCCCUACCUACCACGGCUGCUCUGCCAUUGUGCUCAGCUCGGCGAUUCUUCUUGUUCGCUCCAUUAUCUUCCAGCCGGAUAUAGAGUGAAUAGUUAACCACACUUAGAACAAAUGGGAUCUUACUUUUUGUUCCUGCUCCUUGUAAAGAGGCCAAUGUUUGUGCAUUACAAGCAGGCUUGGAAGAGUAUCCCUCCUCACGUAUUUGGCAACUGGGUCCCAGGUUCCAGAGUGAUACACGGAUAAGUGCAGAAGUUCAUCGGGCUCCCAGACCUUCGGGCUGUUGGAGAAAUCUUCAGCAAGGGAGUUGAUGGGGAAGGCUGGUGUUCUCCAGGUUCAACUUUCUUUGUUUGGAUCACACACAGGAGUCGACGGGAAGGACAAGAAAGGAACCCUCUUGUUCAUUCCGACUAUCUUCUAGUCAGCUGUGAAGACCCCUUCACUCAGGUGGCAGUGGGCUCCAUGCCAGACCACAGUGCUUCAUGACAGACUAGCCAGCUACCAGGGUUGGUGGUGUUUAUUGAAGACGCCCUUCCCCCAGUGUGUGCUGAUGACACACACACACCUGACACCCACUUGCGUCUUUUCUAUGCCUUUCACUCUGUGGCCACCACCUCCGUGGUUAAAAUCACUUCCUAGAUAUCGGUCAUGGUAGCAACCUUGUCCAAAAUGCAGAGUCAAAGAUGUUUGAAACUUUGCUAUUUCCAAAGCAAAUGGAUGGUUUGCUUUGAUAAAAAGAAUAAAAGCUUCCCUGUGUUGUCGAUGAUGUGCUUUUAUGACCAUUUAGUGACUUCCGUGUCUUCUAAGUGGAGCAGUGGGUCCUUGUGGCCAUCUCGGCUUUGCUACAGAACGGUUGAGGAGAACCUCCUGGAGAUGUCUAGAGCUAUUGAAAUGUAAGACUGUGGGCGUUCACCUUCCUUCCUCAACACACAGUUAUAGCCAUUGUAUUCCUUGGAUUUCUUCAGGUGUAAAGGAACAGAGAGCCACGAGAGUCUGUUAUUUAAAGGAUGGACGCUGUGCGCCUAGGCUCCUGAAAUCCUAUGGAUCCUUCAAGGCUCAUCUCACACACUUCCUUCAAUCGGAAGCCUUCCUGGAUUUCUCCUUUUCUCUCAAGAAAAGAAGAAGUUGUGACUUCUCCCUCACAUAUUAUUUUAAAGCAUCAGGUGUUUUAUAGAUGUUCACAAAGUUCUGGUCUUCCUUCCUUGACCAAAGGACUUUAAUACCUCACUUACUGCGCUUACAAUGAACUUGUUUGGGGUACCCUCUUCCCUCCCAAUUCAUAUUCAAAUUCGUUCAUUCAUAUUCUCUCUCUCCAUCUCUCUCUCAUAAGAACAUGAAUGGAGUUAUUCCUUAUUUAUUGAAAUGUACCCCUGAAAUGCCUGGUAAUGUUCAGGACCAUCUAGUGGGUGCUGUGGUGGGUGCUGUGAUCCCUUAGUGAAUCAUCACAAAACAGAGGCUUACAGAAAUCAAUUGCUUUAGCCAAGUCUUUUCUGUGAGAGUUGAGAUUCAAAACCUGGGUCAUGGACAAUUUCAAGUUCAGAGCUGAUGAAGUUACAACAUACUAGCUUUUGCAUGGUAUACUGACAAGAAAGAUGUUGGGUGACUUUUUCUAUUAACAACCUGCUACUGUGUAUGUACCAAAUUUGCCCGUGCAUUGUACCUGUGUGUUACUGUGUGUACCAAAUGUGCGUGUUUUUUAGCUUGUCAAGAUUAAUCAAUAAAGUGUUUUCUGAACAGCAGAUAAA